rnacentral:tRNA from 1 species
GCGCGGGUGGCGGAAUAGGUAGACGCGCUAGCUUGAGGUGCUAGUGGCCCCAACGGGCCGUGGAAGUUCAAGUCUUCUCUCGCGCA